rnacentral:rRNA from 1 species
AGUGAACGCUGGCGGUAGGCCUAACACAUGCAAGUCGAACGGCAGCACAGUAAGAGCUUGCUCUUACGGGUGGCGAGUGGCGGACGGGUGAGGAAUACAUCGGAAUCUACUUUUUCGUGGGGGAUAACGUAGGGAAACUUACGCUAAUACCGCAUACGACCUACGGGUGAAAGCAGGGGAUCUUCGGACCUUGCGCGGUUGAAUGGGCCGAUGUCGGAUUAGCUAGUUGGCGGGGUAAAGGCCCACCAAGGCGACGAUCCGUAGCUGGUCUGAGAGGAUGAUCAGCCACACUGGAACUGAGACACGGUCCAGACUCCUACGGGAGGCAGCAGUGGGGAAUAUUGGACAAUGGGCGCAAGCCUGAUCCAGCCAUACCGCGUGGGUGAAGAAGGCCUUCGGGUUGUAAAGCCCUUUUGUUGGGAAAGAAAAGCAGCAGGUUAAUACCCCGCUGUUCUGACGGUACCCAAAGAAUAAGCACCGGCUAACUUCGUG